rnacentral:lncRNA from 1 species
AUCCGACUCCUGAGAUCUUAUCAGGAAGCUGCUGAUCACCAGCUUCAGGUGUUUCUAUUUAUUGGGAGACUGUCUUUCCCUGGCACCAGCUGCAACCAAUGAUUACUUUAGAGAGACAGUUUAACAACUGCCUGACCAUCACCUGAUGGUCAUCUGACAUUCCCAAUAAGAGCCCAGGCCAAAGGACACCUUGAUUUUGACCUUGUCAGACCUGGAGUUGAAAAACCAGCUGCACCCUUCUAGAAUUCUUACUUACAAAACUGGAGAUGUUACAAGACAAGAUGAUUUCACUGGAAGCUGAGUUUUGCCAGCUUUGGGGAAAUGCUGAUGCAGAACAUCAUUUAUUUAAGGCUGAUACUCAUGGAUAGAAGAGUCAAAGUGCGAAUAUAUGCACCCUUCUAUACGGAUUCUGCAGAAAGAUAUGCUUGGGUCAUGACUCAGGUGAAUUUCCUAUGAAACUUUGUCUUUGGUAAAGCAUCCCAUUCUUGGCUGUUCCAUAUAUAUAUAUAUGGUAAGUUUGGGAGUGGCCUUGCUAGUAAAGAAUAAAUUAUUUACUUGGUUCUAGCUAUUUACAAAGUUGCUGGUGACUAAUUGCUGGAAAGAAGCUGGGACGUUCUGUGGCCCCUCCAUUUUAUAUCCCCUCCCUUUGGUUCUCUAGGAAAUUGAGUUCAGGAAAGCUACCAGGAAUAAAACUCUUACUUUUUA